rnacentral:rRNA from 1 species
UACGUAGGUGGCGAGCGUUACUCGGAAUUACUAGGCGUAAAGUGCAGGUAGGUGGCUUUUUAAGUCUGUGAUGAAAUCCCUUGGCUUAACCAAGGUUCUGUUUCAGAUACUGAAAAGCUGGAGUUUGAGAGGAGAUACUGGAAUUUCCGGUGUAGCGGUGAAAUGUGCAGAUAUCGGAAAGAACACCAAUAGCGAAGGCAGGUAUCUAGCUCAAUACUGACACUGAUCUGCGAAAGCUAGGGGAGCAAACAGG